rnacentral:lncRNA from 1 species
AAUCUCUAAACACCAUCAUGACCUCCUCAAUCACCCUCCCAACAUGUCUGCUUCUGUACGGAAGGAGGUCCAGCUUCGGUUUCUGUUUACUUUAGCAUACUUCUACGGAUAAUGUUCUUCCUGGGAGUUACUCAUUCUCUCCAAAACCUCAUCUUAUGGGGUCAGCAAGGGGCUCCGAGAACCAGAACAUCUGCUAUUCUAGACAGCUGGGAACCUUGCCUAACGUAAAAGAACAAAAGAAACGCUACCUGUGUACCCUACAUUCCAACACUCGGUCAGAAGAGCUUGUGUUUCUUUUCAUGCAGCCUGAGACUUCCCUCUUGCUCUGUUUUCAGAUAAACUACAGCUGCUUACAGCCUUCCGCUAUUCCCCAGUACUAAUUAACGAGUGGAGGAAUGAACUGGACCCAUUCCAACUGCCUUUACUUUUCUGUAGAGAACUCAGUCCUGUUUAAAUCACAUUAAUGAAGACAGUGAAUAACUCCAAGAGUCUCUGAAGACAUAAGAAACUUCACCAUGAAACCACCCACUCUCUUCCCUUUUCUUUUCAACCUACAUUAGUUUAAACAACAACAACAACAACUAAACUAAACUAAAAACCCAUCUCCAGAUAGCUGGUGAUCCUGUGGUGAUGGAGUUUCAGUUGUGAGUAUUGUUCACAGCUCUCGUUGGCAGUGUGAACCUGGGAGAGGGGAACCUAAAAAUGAGACAGACUAAAGUCCGGAGCAAUCGCCAACUUCACUCAGAGCAUCAUAAAAUUUAUACUUGGAAGGUUAAGAGUCACAUAAGUUAAGUGUCCAAUCAGGGACAAGCUACAGGUGGCAAAACCAUGUCAUUCCAUGGAGGCAUAUAAAGCAAUAACAAUAGCCAGCUGAAAUGAAUAAACUGAAGUAAACUCGACUCUAGACCGGGAAGGGACAUGGAAGCAUGCUCCAAGAGCAGUUUUGUGUUUUGAAGAAACUGAGGUCACAAGACUCCUGUCUCGUUUUCUUGGAGUUUUCUCACAAACAUUCAAAAUUGUCUUCGCCUGGCUCCAUUCUUGGACCAUGUUUCAACAAGUAUGAACUCAUUUAGAAGAACAUGAAUAUAUAGACAUGUGUGCAUUAGUGUGCGCAGAGAUUUUUCUUUUUCUGACAGCUGAAAAACUCUAGAAACAAUGCCCCCGCAGCCCCCAGCAUGAAUGAGUGCACCAAGAGCCCAAAUCUUUGUUUUUCAAUGACAAGAUUUUGUUUACAAUAAAAAAAAAAAAACAGUGCCUUUGGAGAAAUUAUUAUUCUAAGGCUGGGACAGGAAAUAUACAGCAUGAACCUGGUAUAUCUUACAGAGUCAGAAAUGAAGAGAAUAUAAAACAAACUUUUAAAAUGGCUAUACUUGUGAGGGCUUGUUGUGAGGGACACAAAUUUUAAGAAUGUUCAGUCAUCAAAACUAGAAAAAGCUUGAACAAUGCACUGAACGGUACAGCAUUAAAUCCCAG